UCAUCCAAAAGUGAUUGCCAAUAAAGCCUUCCAAGGGGAGUUUUUUUUCUCCAUCUCUACCUAUCUUCCUUUAAACAUACGAGCUUCUAGUAAAAUCCUGCAAGUUAAGCUGUUCUCUUUCUUCAGCAAAGCAAAAAAAAGAGAUGGGCUUCGAGGCUUUCGUUAGUUUGCUCACUAAUUUUCUCCAAGAUGAGACGGUCAUGCUGCUAGCAGGCGGGGUCUUUCCCCGGGGCCAAACUGAGGGGCUUAAACAAACCAAGAUAGAGAGCCGCAGGCGAGCUGAUCACGAGGAGAAGGAAGAGCGAACCGAGCAGGACGAACAAAGAGGAGUUGUGCCCCAGGGGCGAUUCCUCUAUAGGUAUAAAAUUACAUCUAUAGGCAGCGUGAAGGGAGCUAGUGUCUGAGUUGAUUUUCUUGCUUGGUGGUUGCGAAUCAAUUGGAGGAGACCAGAGAUU